GAAGUGUUAUAGCCUCUGGUAGAUGUGAUAACUGGGAUUGAGGAUUGCAACGAAUACCCUUAGGGCUACCUGUCUGGCCUCUGGUCGUCGCUUUGGUGCCGAAAGCGUGCUUAUGGUAUUAAAGUAGGUGGUUAAAAGGUUAGCGCGGGUUAAAUUCGUUAAGGAUGUUGACGUAAUGACUUUAAACGA
rnacentral:rRNA from 1 species